CGGUGGAGCAUGUGGUUUAAUUCGAAGCAACGCGAAGAACCUUACCAGGUCUUGACAUCCCGAUGCUAUUUCUAGAGAUAGAAAGUUACUUCGGUACAUCGGUGACAGGUGGUGCAUGGUUGUCGUCAGCUCGUGUCGUGAGAUGUUGGGUUAAGUCCCGCAACGAGCGCAACCCUUGUCAUUAGUUGCUACAUUCAGUUGGGCACUCUAAUGAGACUGCCGGUGACAAACCGGAGGAAGGUGGGGAUGACGUCAAGUCCUCAUGGCCCUUAUAGGUGGGGCUACACACGUCAUACAAUGGAUGGUACAAAGGGUCGCCAACCCGCGAGGGGGAGCCAAUCCCAUAAAGCCAUUCGUAGUCCGGAUCGCAGUCUGCAACUCGACUGCGUGAAGUCGGAAUCGCUAGUAAUCGUGGAUCAGAAUGUCACGGUGAAUACGUUCCCGGGUCUU
rnacentral:rRNA from 1 species